GAUGAACGCUGGCGGCGUGCUUAACACAUGCAAGUCGAACGAAACACCUUAUUUGAUUUUCUUCGGAACUGAAGAGUUGGUGAAAGAGUGUCGGACGGGUGAGUAACGCGUGGGUAACCUGCCCUGUACAGGGGGAUAACAGUCAGAAAUGACUGCUAAUACCGCAUAAGACCACAGCACCGCAUGGUGCAGGGGUAAAAACUCCGGUGGUACAGGAUGGACCCGCGUCAGAUUAGCUGGUUGGUGAGGUAACGGCUCACCAAGGCGACGAUCAGUAGCCGGCUUGAGAGAGUGAACGGCCACAUUCGGACUGAGCCACGGCCCAAACUCCUACGGGAGGCAGCAGUGGGGAAUAUUGCACAAUGGGGUGACCCCUGAUGCAGCGACGCCGCGUGAGUGAACAAGUAUUUCGGUAUGUAAAGCUCUAUCAGCAGGGAAGAAAAUGCCGGUACCUGACUAAGAAGCCCCGGCUACCUACGUG
rnacentral:rRNA from 1 species